rnacentral:lncRNA from 1 species
UUUGAUUAGUUUUUUUCGGUAAGUUGCCUUUUAAUGCCUAUUAAGAUUCAAAAGACAGGCAUUCUCUGUAUUUAAUAUUGUUUAAUUAAUAUUUUUUUAAAUAGAAACGCAUUUGGAUUUUAAAAAGUAUUAAAUUAAAGGCAUAUUGUGUAUUUUUCAUUUGUCGUUUUUCCCUUUGUUUAUCAUUGGAGUGACAACUAUACAUAUAAGUUUUAUUUUGAUGGUUUUUUUUUACACAAAUACACAUAUUGAUUUGUUGAUUUUGGUAAAUUGCUAUGUGCAUGUUUCCUGGCUAAAGUGUUAAUCUUUUUACGAACAUCCCUCAUGUUCAUUUAAGUAUUCUUUUUUUUUUAUGACAUUUUACGAUAAUUUUUCGUGUAUUGUUUUGUCAUUAUUUCCUAUUCUUUGUAUACUUAUUUCAUCUUUUUCUCUACUAUUUAUGUUUUAAAAAACUUCUAUAAUUGUACAUUUGCCCAAUUUUCUCUAUUUUGUUAACCCCAUGCAAACCCUCAUGCUGGUAUGAUAUUAAAAAGAAAAUACAAUAUCAUAGUGCUCUUUUUCAUUAACAAUACGCUAGCUUUCGAUUGUUUGUAUUAUUGUUAUCCAUUUGCAACAUGCAUCUAUCAUCCUUUCAUGUGAAGAGAAAUUACGCAGAUUCCCAAAGAGAAUGACAAAAUUACUUUCUCGUGUUUUUUUUCUCACUGGAAAACAUUCAAAAGAUCGUCAAAAAUAUAAAUAUCAGCCGUCAGAACGGAAAACAAUCAAGACCGGCUACAUUAACUUAAUGGUUUAAAGAAAUGAGAUUUUUCUUUGUGGGAUUUUAAGUCCUCUUGGUAUCACAUCAUAGCAGAAUAUUUAUAUAGGUAAUUCCCUUACAUAAUAAACUUGCAUUAUUUCAAAAUAACCUCAGAUAAAAAGUCUUUAUUCUAGAUUAGCACUACAUUGUCCCCUACCGGUUGAAAAAUAUCACUGUACUGGAACAAAAUGCUACCUUGAUCAAUAAUUUGUCAUGGUGUUAACUUUAUCACGAAUAUGAAGUCAAUACCUUCAAGCAUGACCAAAACAGGGAAGAACACCGAUUAUUUGAGUGACUUUCUAAGUCAAAGGAUCAAACCUCUGUACAAAAUUAUCAGACCGAAACAAAAUUGAACUUGAUCUGUACUGUACACAGUACACCACAUAAAUAUCAAAUCAAGGGAUGAACAGACAGACGGAUGGAGUGCAAACAUAAAAGUCCCUUCCGCUUCAUCUGUAGGGACUAAUAAUGCAUACCUGAUAAAAUCGCACUGAUUAAAUGAGUAUAUACAACAACAACCCGAGGUUAUGUUAUAAAUAAUGCAUAUUUGAAGGUUUUUUUUGUCGUAGAACCACCUCGGGUGAUAGGAUUUAUGACAACCCGGGGGGUGUUCUAAAGAAAAACCUUAAAUUAUGCAUUAUCUGAAUGAUAUACCGUCAACAAUUUUUUUUAUAAAGAUUUGCAAAAUUUAGUAUCCUAUUUUCCUGAUGAAGGUAAAUCCAGAAAAGCGCUUCGGACGCAAUAAAUUAUUCAACGUGUUGUUUAUUAUUUUACAUUCACUGGGUCGAUACUCUGGUGGACUAUCAGUCCCGAGUAUCAUCAGCUCAGUAGUAGUGCUUCGGUACUGACAUGAUUAAACAAACUUUACUAAGAAGUGUCCGUUUAUAAUUUUGAAAUUAUUAUGAAACUAAGGUUUCAACUCCCUCAGGCAAAGUGGCUUUAUAAUGAAUUUGGCUAUUUAUUUUAGGAUUUUUAACAUAUAGCUCUUCAACGAUUUUCCGGUACUUAUACAUCUUCGAUUUCAAUGUUUGGUCUGAGCGUUCCUGAUGAAGGUAAAUCCAGAAAAGCGCUUCGACGCAAUAAAUUAUUCAACGUGUUGUUUUAUAUUUUUACCGACAACGCUAAAGUCAGUUCCUUUCUAAUGCGUUCAGCUUUUAAUACGCCCUUCGGCUCAUUUAAAAUGUGACAUAAAACUCCCUUAUUAAUCUAUACCUUUUUAAAUUUAUUAUCCAUACACAACAAAAAUAUUACUGUAACUGCAUGAAGUAAGACACAAAUGUAUUGUUACCAUCCGAUAACGGUGUAUGACAAAUACAAGACACAUAAUCAUUGUAAGUAAUUUAUUGUACCACUUUGUUUAUGGAAAAGAGGGAGGGAUAUGUUUUUAUGCCACACCUACGAUAGUAGAGGGGCAUUAUGUUUCUGUCUAUGGUCCGUUCGUUCGUUCCGUCGGUCCGUCCGCGUUCAGAUUAAGUUUUGGUUCAAGGUAGUUUUUUAUGAAGAUGAAGUCCAAUCAACCUUGAAACUUAGUACACUUUAUGCUUAUAUAUGAUAUCUAAUUUUAAAGCCAAAUUAGACUUUUGGACCCAAUUUCAAGGUCAACUGAACAUAUAAAAUGAAAGUGAGAUUUUCAGGUUAAAGUUUUUGGUCAAGGUAGGUUUUGAUGAAGCUGAAGUCCAAUCAACUUGAAACUUAGUACACUUGAUGCUUAUUAUAUGAUAUUUCUAAUUUCAAAGUCAAAUUACACUUUUGACCCCAAUUACACGGUCCAUGGAACAUGGGAAAUGAUAGUGCCAGUGGGGCAUCCGUGUACUUUUCUGUCAUUUCUAUCGCGUAAAAGUGGUAUUUUUUUUUACAAUUUUAAUUGGAUCGAAUGAAAAAUUCAGAAAAAUUGUCUUAUAAAUAGCAAUACAUUUUAUUGACAGAUAAUCAGGAUAUAUUUAUAUACCCUCUGCACCCGACACUUUUGCGAGUUACAUUAAUGUUAUUCAAUACAGUGUACGAUUAUCUUAUUAGUUGAUUAUUUGGUAGAGUAAAAGGUAUAAAUAAAUUCCAAAAAGUUAGGAACUGACACGAAGACGAAUAUAAAUACAUGUAGGCUACAGUUUGAUUUCCUAUUCAGUGUGUAUCGUCUUUAACAUGCAUGACAUAUUUGCCAUUGGACGUUAACUAUUCAGUGUGACUCAAUAAGAUUGUCAAAAUCUUACACACAAAUAUGUUAAAUCUGGCUUUAUUUUAUGAAAGUCUACAUUAAAAUUCAUCUCACAUAUAUGACAAUGUUUCUUUAUUGUAGCGAUAAAUUAACAAAACUUCACGUUAUUUGUUUAUAAAAUCAAAAUACGGGUAAUGACGGUUUUCUUUACACCUAUCAUCGAUUAAACUUUAAAAAAAUAAAUUUUCAAAUUGGCAACAAAAAACCAUCAGACGAAUAAAAUUUUGAAAUAAAUUAUAGAUUGCAUUGUUAUCAAGGAAAAUAAUGACCUCACACAGGUCAUUAUUUUAUGCCUUAGAGCAUAUUUCAUUGAAACAUGGUAUCGUCUGGGUUGAUUCUGAAAAAGAAUGAUCUGUCGUCCUGAAAGAAAUAACUAAAUAUAGGUAUAUAAUCAUAUUUUGAAAGAUAGUUAUAAGACUCGUGUAAUAUAAAACGGUUUUUACUGACGAUAUAGGGCUUGAAGAUUUGUAGUUAGUCAAAGGUUGAAGUUUCAAAUUUACAUUUUAAAUGGUUUAUUGUUUUAAACAAUGUCUUGUUAUACCGUUGAACGAUUCAAUUCGUUGGAUAACAAUAACAAACUAUCAAUAUCGAAUCAUUUCAAUCUUUAUUUUAAUACCAAUUGAAAAUACCAACAAAUCAUUUCAUUGAAUUACCUAUCAGUGUUAUGGCCAGAAGUUGAUGGGAAGCAGACUCUUCGACCAUUGACCCGGUUCAGUCUUGGUCAUUUCGUUUACCACUUAGGCCAUGUAAUUAUUAACUAUGUCAAGACCUUAUACACUAUAUCGGUAUUUUUGUUUGCUUACAUGUAUCUUUCAAUAAUUAUUAUCAUUCAGUGCAGAACAUGUAUAGAUCUGGUUUCCCUUCCGAAGCACCUGAGAUCCUCGUUUUUUGUUUGUUUGUGAAGUUUGUGUUGCCCAGUCUUGAGUUUUCUUAGUUUUCUAUAUGUCGUUUUUAAUGUUUUUCCCCGGUGUUGUCAAUUUGUCUCCGAAAUAAGAGUUGGAUAAUCAUUUUCAGUGGUAUCUUCCGCCUCUUCAUUACUAUUUAGUAUGUAUAAGUACAAAUGUAAAAAGCAGAUGUGGUAACAACUCAAGGACACCGUACUCAUACACCAUACGCAUGCAUGCAUGUAGGUCAAAACAUUUCAAAAUCAAUAUGAUUAUAUGAAUUAUUGUUUACAUUAUUAUCGUUCCUAAUUUGCACGAAAUAUUAGUAUUGGAUGUAACAUAACAUUAUUUCUACCAGAAUGAUAUUUUCAAAAGGCAAAUAGAAAUUCAGUUAUAAAAAACCCACAGCUGAGCUCCUUAUAUAAUUAUUUUAAUCUAGUAACAAAUUGUCCAAAUUUGAGUAAACUAUAUAAUUUACUUACUAUCAAAGUAUGGUAAUCCUGAAAUGUUAAAUGAUAUGAUAAUAAUUAUACUUUUUUUUAAAUUCUACAUUCGGGAGAGGGUUAACAAUGUGUGCAAUGAUAGGGUAUCUCUGCAAGUUGAAAAUUUUGUAGUUAGUCAAAGGUUGAAGUUUCAAAUCUUACAUUUUAAAUCGUUUAUUUUUCUUAAACAAUGUCUUGUUAUACCCUUGAACGUAUUCAAUUCGUUGGAUAACAAUAACAAAAGACUCAGUAUCGAAUCAUUUAAUUUUAUAUUAAUACAUGAAAAUACCAACAAAUCAUUUCAUUGAUACCUAAGCUGUUAGAUGAAGUUGAGAGGGAAAAGAUCUUCGACCAUUUGAGGUUCAGGUCUUGCGUCAUUCGUUACAUCAUGAAUAAAUAUUGUCAAAGAAUAUACAUUAUUAUUUUGUAUUACAUGUAUCUUUGAAAUAAUUAUUAUCGAUUCAAGUGCAGAACAUGUCUAGAUCUAUUUCGUUCAAUAGCACCUGAAUCUCUGUUUUUUGCAGUCGUGGUGAUGGAAUUUGUGUAAAAGUUUGAUUUUUAUGUCUUCUAUUAUGUCGUUUUCUGUUUUUCCGGGUUCAAUUUGGCUCCGAAUAUGUUGAUUAAUCAUUUUCAUGUAUCUUCGCCUCGUUCAUUACUCAUUUAGUAUGUAUAAGUACAAUUUGAAAAAGCAAUGUGAUUUAAGACAUGUCACGUCAACCAUACGCAUGCGAUUGCUGUGGCAAAACAUGAAUCAAUAGAUUAUAUGUAUUUGUCCAAUUUAUUAUCGUUCCUUCUUUAGCAAUAUUGUAUGUUUUACACAUUAUUCUAAGAAUGAUGUUUUCAAAAGGCAAAUAAAUUCAGUAUAGUCGUAGCUCCUUAAUAUUAUUUUAAAUCAGUAACAAAUUGUCCAUUUAUAAACUAUAGAAUUUAUUACUAUCAAAGUAUGUAAUCCUGAAAUGUUAUGAUUGAUAAUCUAUACUUUUUAAUUCUCAUUGGCAGUUUAACCGUGUAAGAGCUGUUUUUAGUUUUCUACUCUUGAUUUGAGGAUCUUAUUAUUAUUUAUCAAUAUGCAAAACUAUUAUCUAUGUGAAAAAAAAGUAAAUAAGCCUUAAUCAUUUUUUAUAUUCUCGCUAACUUAAAUAACUGAUGGAAGAUAGGCAGAUGAUACCCUCUGAAUUAAUCGGAGACAACCUUACCACGGAAAUUUUUAUUUGAAUGUUCAUCCGCCCAACCCAUUUGGAAAUCAACAAUAAAAAUUAAAAAUUAAAUCCUCAUGAACGAAUGUAGAAGAAUACAAGUCUAAAAAUCUAGAUAGUUUGGAUUCUAUAUUCAAAUUUUUACAUUGGUUUUUUUUUUACUCUAUUAAAAUUUAAUUUGGUUGUUUUUGUUAAAACAUUAACACCUAUAAAAUGCAAUGCCACAAAAAACAAAAAGAGACUUUAAUCAAGAAACUUAAAAACUUAAGGUUUAGUAAAUUUUAUUAUGUUUAAAAGAAAGAGGGGUGAUUAGUUUUUUUUGUGUCAGUAAGUUAUUUAUCCCUUAUACAUUCAAACCAUUCUCGGUAAAUAUUAAUUAAUAUUUAAUGUAAACGAUCGCAUUGGCUAAAAAUUAAGAUGUAGGUAAGAGUCGAAAAAAAUUUGGAUCAUCCAGAAACAUACAAUAGGAUUUUUGUUCGGAGUCAUGGGAUUUGAAAGGUUAAUGCUAGUAUUUCCCCCCCAGGGUAAAGUUUAGCUUUUCAGAACACCCUCAUGCCAUUUUUGUCUUUAUGAGUGAUUAUCAUAGGGUGUUUUCAAUUUCCUAUUCCGAAUAUUUCAUCUUGCAAUAUUUUAUGUUUAAAAAACAUUGACAGCCAAAUUUUCUAUUUGUUAACCCCAUGAUUCUGAUUAUAAUGAGGUAAUUAUUAUCCUUUAACAGCUUAGAUAGUUUCAUGUUAUUAUUUAUCCCUUUCACCAAUCUACUCUUCCAAAAAAAUGACCUGAUCCAAGAAAUGCACGUUUAUUUUCUGUUUUUAGCCACAGGAAAUUCAUAAAAGAUGUCAACUAUAAAUAUCAGGGAAACACAAAACAUCAAACCGCAUACAUUAAUAAUGGUUUAAAGAAGACCGAAAUUUUUCUUAUGAGUGCAUUUUCAUUCAGAGGAACUAAUAGCAGUUAUUUUAUCUAUUGCUAUAAAUUGCGUAUUGAAAAUAACCUCAGAUAAUAAAUUUCUCAUGCAUAGCAUUGACUAUACCGUUUAAAUUUUCACGUGUACGGAACAGAAUGCCACUUAUCUCCGCAUGGGUUAACUUAUAGGAAUAUAGCAUACAAGCAUCAAGGUUAUGCACACGUUAUUUGAAUGAGCUAAGUAAGGAUCAAACCUUGUUCAAGAUACAACCGAAACAAAAUAUUUCUUAGACACAUACAAUAACAUAGCAAGAUCAAGUUGAACCAGAAGACGGAUAGUCAACACUGAAACUUCUUCGUUCACUAGGGGACUAAUUUGCCCCCAACUAAUAAAAUGAUAUAUUGCUAAUACAAAUAACCCGUGGUAUUAUAAUUACUUAAUUUUCAAGUUUUCUUGUCGUCGACCACCUCGGAGCCGGUAUAGAUUCUAUAAACCCGCGGGCUAAGACAAGAACCACUUAAUCAUAUUUUUGGGACUUAGAAUUUCACGUUGUCUUUUAAUAAAAUAGCAGAUUUCAAAUUUAACAACGAAAGUCAGUUCCUUUCAAAAGCUUUUAAUAUUCGGCUCAAAUGUGAAAAAAACUAGUCAUAUUAAUGAGAUAUAUACCUUAAAUUAUUAUGCAUCCCAUUAACAUAGUAACUGCAUUGAAUUAAGACAAAUUUAACCACCGAUAAUCGUGUUGUACUGACAAUUACAACGACAUAAUUUGUAAGUUAAAAAUUGUACCACUUUUGUUUACCAAAAGUAAGGGAUAUUUUUUUUUAUUUGUAAUGUUUUAUCGGGGCGAAAGGGUUAUUUUUUUUUUAAAUUUAAUUGAUCAAUGAAAAAUUCAGAAAAAUUGUCUUAUAAAUAGCAAUACAUUUUAUUGACAGAUAAUCAGGAUAUAUUUAUAUACCCUCUGCACCCGACACUUUUGCGAGUUACAUUAAUGUUAUUCAAUACAGUGUACGAUUAUCUUAUUAGUUGAUUAUUUGGUAGAGUAAAAGGUAUAAAUAAAUUCCAAAAAGUUAGGAACUGACACGAAGACGAAUAUAAAUACAUGUAGGCUACAGUUUGAUUUCCUAUUCAGUGUGUAUCGUCUUUAACAUGCAUGACAUAUUUGCCAUUGGACGUUAACUAUUCAGUGUGACUCAAUAAGAUUGUCAAAAUCUUACACACAAAUAUGUUAAAUCUGGCUUUAUUUUAUGAAAGUCUACAUUAAAAUUCAUCUCACAUAUAUGACAAUGUUUCUUUAUUGUAGCGAUAAAUUAACAAAACUUCACGUUAUUUGUUUAUAAAAUCAAAAUACGGGUAAUGACGGUUUUCUUUACACCUAUCAUCGAUUAAACUUUAAAAAAAUAAAUUUUCAAAUUGGCAACAAAAAACCAUCAGACGAAUAAAAUUUUGAAAUAAAUUAUAGAUUGCAUUGUUAUCAAGGAAAAUAAUGACCUCACACAGGUCAUUAUUUUAUGCCUUAGAGCAUAUUUCAUUGAAACAUGGUAUCGUCUGGGUUGAUUCUAAAAUGAUGAUCUGUCGAUCGUUGAAAGAAAUAACUAAAUAUAGGUAUAUCAUAUUUUUGAAUAGUUAUAAGAUUGUUAAUAUAAAACGGUUUUUACUGACGAUAUAGGGUUUGGAUAUUUGUAGUUAGUCAAAGAUUGAAGUUUCAAAUUUACAUUUUAAAUGUUUUAUUGUUUUAAACAAUGAUUUUGUUAGACCGUUGAACGAUUCAAUUCGUUGGAUAACAAUAACACACUAUCAAUAUCGAAUCAUUUCAAUCUUUAUUUUAAUACCAAUUGAAAAUACAAACAAAUCAUUUCAUUGAACUACUAAUCAGUAUUAUAGCUAGAAGUUGAUAGAAAGCAGACUCUUCGACAAUUGACCCGGUUCAGUCUUGGUCAUUUCGUAUACCACUAAGGCCAUGUAAUUAUUAACUAUGUUAAGACCUAAUACACUAUAUUGGUAUUUUUGUUUGCUUUCAAUAAUAAUUAUCAUUCAGUGCAGAACAUGUAUAGAUCGGGUUUCCCUUCCGAAGCACAUGAUAUCCUCGUGUUUUUUUUUGUUUGUUUGUGUUUCCCAGUCUUGAGUUUCCAAAGUUUUCUUUAUUUCGUUUUUAUUUUUUUUCCCCCGGUGUUGUCAAUUUGUCUCCGAAAUAAGUGGUGGAUAAUCAUGUUCAGUGGUAUCUUCCGCCUCUUCAUUGCUACUAUAUUUUGUAAGUAUAAAUACGCAGCAACGUCAUGACGGGAAAUUAUUCUAUGCGUUCAGCAUGUUCAGUGUAUUAUCCAGAUCUAUACACACGUUAAUUUUGAUGCAUUGUUCAGGGAGAAUGUCGAUUGGUUCAUUGUUGACCUGUUACAAAGUAAAUGUCUGUAUAUGUCAGUUUAGAUAAUACUAGUUCAUUCAUUUUUUUGGCAUUUUAAAAAGCAACGGUACCUAGACGGCAUAAUCUCUGUAAUCCCUAAAAUAAGUCUUUUACACUAUUUGACGGUUGGCACAUUACCUCUUCCAAUCCCAGUUUUUAGUCGGAUUCACGUUGCUUUAAUUUUCUACAUUGUGUUUUGUGAACGAAGGUGUGUCUGUCUGUCUGUCUGUUUUCUAGGUUUUUUGUUGUUGUUUUUUUUAUUUUAUUUUUUUUAUCUUUUUUAGCCAUUGCGUUGUCAGUUUAUUUCUAACUUAUGAGUUUGAAGUCCCUUUGGUAUCUUUUACUUUAAUAAUAACAUAAGACGUCUCUUCUGUGUCUCAUUUACUCAGAUUUGAUAAGAUUUUUUUUAUGCAAAAAGUUAAAUCACAAAAAUACUGAACUCCGAGGAAAAUUCAAAACGUAAAGUCCCUAAUCAAAUGGCAAAUCAAAAGUCCAAACACCAAACGAAUGGAUAACAACUGUGCUCUUCAUUACUUGUUUCAGACAUUAUCAAAUGUAGAAAAUGGUGGAUUGAAUCUAUUUUUAUAGCUAGCUAAACAUCUCACUUGUAUGACAGUCGCAUUCAUAUAAUGGUACUCAUAUUUAAAUUGUUAACUAUCCUGGAACAUGUUUGUUUAUGCUCUUUACUUUUGUUCAGUAACAAAUACUUCUUGCAUGUUCCAGACCACUAACGUGAUAAUCAUGAUAUAAUUAAAUCCAAUGAAUAACAGUUACGGACAAUCUCCAAAGCUAUUCGACCAACGUUUCGGAUAUUGAGUGGCUUUUUCUGAAACUUCAAAUUUAAUUCAAAUAUAUGUGCAUCAACAAAUAUAGGUUGAAGAUACCUCGUUAUGAGAAAAACCUGACAACACCAUGGAAAAAAGGGGAGAAAAAAUACACACAAAAACGAUAAAAAAAACUAAGAAAGACGUUAAAAAUUUAAACAAAACAAAACAAGAGAAAAACUAAACACCGAGCAUAUUGAACCCAAUGACUCAAAGAAUGAUACUUAAAAUCUGUUAUUAGUUCUGUUGCUUCAGAAAACGUAAUGAAUUCGCAUGAAAUAUUUAACACUGGACUUUUAGGAAAAACCAAUCAAACUAUCAAUCAAACAAAGACGUACCAGUAUAGUUAAAGAGUUGAAUAAUCAAUACUAUUAUAUGAAAAUAAAAUCUUCUAAUAAUAAAUAUUCAACAAUUAAUAUAUAUUGUAGGAUGAUGGCAAGUAAUUGUGGUGUUUGUGAUAAUCGUCAGAUAACCAGAUCAUCAGUUGUCUUGUGUUCCGAAUGUGACGAAGGACUAUGCAGAGAUUGUAAGGAACAUCACAGUAUUUCAAAGGGAACGAAAAAACAUGAAACCGUUUCAAUCGCUGAGUACAAGAAAUUACCAGUCGACAUCUUUCAAAUCGCUCAAGUCUGCCAACUUCAUAAUGAAAAAUACGAGCUUUUCUGUAGAAAACAUGACUGUCCAUGCUGUAAGAAAUGUGUGAAAUCUCACAACGAUUGUAAGGGUUUAACAGAUAUUAAUGAAAUUAUAAAAAAUGUAAAAAAUUCACACGCCUUUUAUGAAAUCGAACAAACCCUGCUUGAAGUCGCCGAGAAUGUUAAACGACUCAGCGAUAACCGGGCAGAAAAUUUGAACUCGCUUCGAGACAAGAAAAAAGAAAUUGAAGCCGAAAUAAAACGAGCCAGAACCAAAAUAAACGACCACCUUGAUAAACUUCAGGAUGAUUUCAUGAAAGAAUUAAUGGCAGUUGAACAAAAAGAGAGCAGCAAAAUACAAAAUUUGUUGACUAUCCUGAAAAAGAAGGAAAAAGAAAUCAAUGAAGUACAAGAAAAUAUUGCUAGUAUUAAACAGCAUGCGUCCGAGCUUCAAACAUUUUUAACCAUGAAAGAUAUCGAAAAAAAUAUUGCAGUUAAUCAAAAAUUCAUUCAAUCGAUCAUCACAAGUGACACCACGAAUCAAGUCUAUAUUUCAUGUCAAAUUAACAAGUCUUUACAGCAAAUCACAGCCAGCGUACAGAGGUUCGGAGAAAUAAAUGUCAGUUCUGAUCCAUUUGAUUAUACCAUUCAGAGACGGAAGGACAGAGAAGCCCAGAUUGUGGUAUCACCGUCAACCAGAAAUAUCGACAACCUAACUUUGACAUUACAGAAACGUAUCGAUACAUCGAUGUCAAAUGUCUAUGGCUGUUCCCUGAUUCCUGGUGGUAGGAUGGUAUUCUCCAGUUUUGGGCAAGAUAAAAUAAGAGUACUCAAAUUAGACGGAUCAAAAGAUUUCGAAAUCAGUACGAUUGGUGUUACGUUUGACGUGAUAUAUAUCGGUGAUGAUGAUAUUGCUGUUACAUCUGGCCAUUCAGAUAAGAUUAAUAUCAUUGACUUAAAGAAGCAAAAACUGAAGAAAACGAUAAAAAUUAAUUCAUUCAAUGACGGAGCAGUAUACAAAGACGGACAUUUGAUUUAUUGUGCCAAGGAGAAAGGACUACAAAUGAUUAGUCUUAGUGAUGAAUCCAUUAACAAUGUUAUCAAUACCAAACUUCCUUUCUGUUCGUACGUUACAACAUUCGGUGAGAAACUGAUCUACACAAACUGUGACAAUCAUAGUAUAACCUGUUGUGAUAAACAUGGUAACAUACUGUGGAGAUUCUGUGAUAUAAGAGUUCUGAUGACUCCACUCGGUAUCUCUGUAGACAAUAAUGGGAACGUGUUUGUUGUGGGAUAUGACACUCAAAAUGUGGUCGUCAUCUCUCCUGAUGGAAAACACCACAGACA